UACAGAGGUCUCAAGCGUUGUUCGGAUUCAUUGGGCGUAAAGGGUGCGUAGGCGGCGCGGUAAGUCGGGUGUGAAAUCUCGGGGCUUAACUCCGAAACUGCAUUCGAUACUGCCGUGCUUGAGGACUGGAGAGGAGACUGGAACUUCCGGUGGAGCGGUGAAAUGCGUUGAGAUCGGAAGGAACGCCCGUGGCGAAAGCGAGGUCCUGGACGUUUACUGACGCUGAGACGCGAAAGCCAGGGGAGCGAACGGG
rnacentral:rRNA from 1 species